rnacentral:rRNA from 1 species
CCCUUAGAUGUUCGGGGCCGCACGCGCGCUACACUGGCGGAAUCAGCGGGUAUUUCCCCCUUGGCCGGAAGGUCUGGGUAAUCCGCUGAACCUCCUCCGUGAUGGGGAUAGGGAAUUGCAAUUAUUUCCCUUGAACGAGGAAUUCCCAGUAAGCGCGAGUCAUCAGCUCGCGUUGAUUACGUCCCUGCCCUUUGUACACACCGCCCGUCGCUACUACCGAUUGAAUGGUUUAGUGAGAUCCUCGGAUCGGCGGCGUCGGGACGGCCCUGCCGUACCGUUCUGCAUUGUCCGAGAAGACGAUCAAACUUGAUCAUUUAGAGGAAGUAAAAGUCGUAACA